rnacentral:rRNA from 1 species
CAGCAGCCGCGGUAAAACGAAGGGGGCUAGCGUUGUUCGGAAUUACUGGGCGUAAAGCGCACGUAGGCGGAUAUUUAAGUCAGGGGUGGAAUCCCAGAGCUCAACUCUGGAACUGCCUUUGAUACUGGGUAUCUUGAGUAUGGAAGAGGUGAGUGGAAUUCCGAGUGUAGAGGUGAAAUUCGUAGAUAUUCGGAGGAACACCAGUGGCGAAGGCGGCUCACUGGUCCAUUACUGACGCUGAGGUGCGAAAGCGUGGGGAGCAAACAGGAUUAGAUACCCCUGUAGUCCCUGUCUCUUAUAC